rnacentral:rRNA from 1 species
UAAGGAAUAUUGGUCAAUGGACGCAAGUCUGAACCAGCCAUGCCGCGUGAAGGAUUAAGGCCCUCUGGGUUGUAAACUUCUUUUAUAGGGGAAGAAAUGUGACGGUUCUCCGUCACUUGACGGUACCCUGGGAAUAAGCACCGGCUAACUCCGUGCCAGCAGCCGCGGUGAUACGGAGGGUGCAAGCGUUAUCCGGAUUCACUGGGUUUAAAGGGUGCGUAGGUGGGCAGAUAAGUCAGUGGUGAAAUCUUCCGGCUUAACCGGGAAACUGCCGUUGAUACUAUUUGUCUUGAAUAUUGCGGAGGUAAGCGGAAUAUGUCAUGUAGCGGUGAAAUGCUUAGAUAUGACAUAGAACACCAAUUGCGAAGGCAGCUUACUACACAAUCAUUGACACUGAGGCACGAAAGCGUGGGUAGCGAACA